UAGGGAAUAUUGCACAAUGGGCGAAAGCCUGAUGCAGCAACGCCGCGUGCGCGAUGAAGGCCUUCGGGUCGUAAAGCGCUUUUCGGGGAGAUGAGGAAGGACAGUAUCCCCGGAAUAAGGAUCGGCUAACUACGUGCCAGCAGCCGCGGUAAAACGUAGGAUCCGAGCGUUAUCCGAAUUCACUGGGCGUAAAGCGCGUGCAGGCGGUCCGGUAAGUUGGAUGUGAAAUCUCCUGGCUCAACUGGGAGAGGACGUUCAAUACUGUCGGACUCGAGGACGGUAGAGGGAGGUAGAAUUCCCGGUGUAGUGGUGAAAUGCGUAGAUAUCGGGAGGAAUACCAGUGGCGAAGGCGGCCUCCUGGACCGUUCCUGACGCUCAGACGCGAAAGCUAGGGGAGCAAACGGG
rnacentral:rRNA from 1 species